rnacentral:rRNA from 1 species
GAUGAACGCUGGCGGCGUGCCUAAUACAUGCAAGUCGAGCGAACGGACGAGAAGCUUGCUUCUCUGAUGUUAACGGCGGACGGGUGAGUAACACGUGGAUAACCUACCUAUAAGACUGGGAUAACUUCGGGAAACCGGAGCUAAUACCGGAUAAUAUUUUGAACCGCAUGGUUCAAAAGUAAAAGACGGUCUUGCUGUCACUUAUAGAUGGAUCCGCGCUGCAUUAGCUAGUUGGUAAGGUAACGGCUUACCAAGGCAACGAUGCAUAGCCGACCUGAGAGGGUGAUCGGCCACACUGGAGCUGAAACACGGACCAGACUCCUACGGGAGGCAGCAGUAGGGAAUCUUCCGCAAUGGGCGAAAGCCUGACGGAGCAACGCCGCGUGAGUGAUGAAGGUCUUCGGAUCGUAAAACUCUGUUAUUAGGGAAGAACAUAUGUGUAAGUAACUGUGCACAUCUUGACGGUACCUAAUCAGAAAGCCACGGCUAACUACGUG